UACAACGCACUACCUGUUCAUAGUAGUCGUUGCUGUCAACAGCACACUGCUCACCAUCAACGCAGGGGACUACAUCUUCUACACAGACUGGGCGUGGACGUCCUUCGUUGUGUUCUCGGUGGCCCCGGUCACAAUAAUAGACAGAGGGGAAAUAUACUAAUUGUUAUCCACAUGUGUUCCAGGGAACGCAAACUAUUACGAGCAUAUCAUGACCACACAGACGAGAGCACGAAAGGGAUCAUGGGUUGCACCUGGAUCAGCCUACGAAUAUGACAGGCUAAAAGACGCACCAAGCACGAUUCCAUCCGGAUUGGCGGUACGCUAGUUGUCCUAUCCUUCCCGCUGUUCAACAUGGUAAACCUGUUGCUUGUAAGGGACCCGCUCGAGGUGUACUUCAAUGAUGCGAGACCGACUCUGCCCGCGUACAUGACGCCUAUAGAGCCUCAGGUAGGGAAGUUCUACAACUCGCCUGUCGCCCUGGGUUCAGGUGCCGGUGCAGUGCUAACGGUACCCAUCGCUGCGUUGGGUGCAAAACUAAACACGUGG
rnacentral:rRNA from 1 species